UCUUUGAUGGUCUAACGGUCAUGAUUUCCGCUUGUCAUGUUGGUGAAUUUCCAAAAUUCAUCUGACAAAGCGCGGGAGAUCGGGGUUCGACUCCCCGUCAGAGAG